rnacentral:rRNA from 1 species
CCGGCGGCGGCUUACACAUGCAAGUCGAGCGCACUCUUCGGAGUGAGCGGCGGACGGGUUAGUAACGCGUGGGAACGUGCCCUUCUCUAAGGAAUAGCCACUGGAAACGGUGAGUAAUACCUUAUACGCCCUUCGGGGGAAAGAUUUAUCGGAGAAGGAUCGGCCCGCGUUAGAUUAGAUAGUUGGUGGGGUAAUGGCCUACCAAGUCUACGAUCUAUAGCUGGUUUUAGAGGAUGAUCAGCAACACUGGGACUGAGACACGGCCCAGACUCCUACGGGAGGCAGCAGUGGGGAAUCUUGGACAAUGGGCGCAAGCCUGAUCCAGCCAUGCCGCGUGAGUGAUGAAGGCCUUAGGGUCGUAAAGCUCUUUCGCCAGAGAUGAUAAUGACAGUAUCUGGUAAAGAAACCCCGGCUAACUCCGUGCCAGCAGCCGCGGUAAUACGGAGGGGGUUAGCGUUGUUCGGAAUUACUGGGCGUAAAGCGCACGUAGGCGGAUCAGAAAGUAUAGGGUGAAAUCCCAGGGCUCAACCCUGGAACUGCCUUGUAAACUCCUGGUCUUGAGUUCGAGAGAGGUGAGUGGAAUUCCGAGUGUAGAGGUGAAAUUCGUAGAUAUUCGGAGGAACACCAGUGGCGAAGGCGGCUCACUGGCUCGAUACUGACGCUGAGGUGCGAAAGUGUGGGGAGCAAACAGGAUUAGAUACCCUGGUAGU